CAUACUAACAAAAUGUCGAUUUUAUCCUUACCACAUGGUAGUUAGAAAAAAAAGUAAAUCAAAUGUCGAUGCUGACUUUGUAAGUUCCGAUGAUGAAAAUAUCUCUCCAACGUGAAUCAAACCGAUGAAUCGAUCAUGGAUUAGAGUUAAGAUUGUUUAACAGAGUUUGGUCUGUUCGUUAUGAAUAUUAGUGGAAAGAAGAUCAGAGUUAUUUGUUGAAAAAAAGAAGAAGAUCGGAGCUGUCACCGGCAGUUACAAUCGCGAUUUUUCCAAGAUCUGCAAUUCGAGCCCUUGGGUUUACUAGAUACUAUCCCUUAGGGUUUAGUUUUGUUUAUUCAAAACACAAUUAAUUCUUGAAUCAUCGGAGCUCCGAGAUGGUGUUGUUGGUGGAGACGUUUGGUGUUUGGCGAUGGUGUUAAUGAAAUUAAAGGUAAUGAAUUUAACGGAGAUAGUGUUGUUAGAACACGACGGUGACGAGUGAUGAUUGUUGUCGGAAAUUCAGGUGAUCACGUCGGAGAAGAAACGAAUAACGAUGGAUGUGGUUGGGAGAAGAAGAAGAAAGAGAUACAGAGGACAUGGAUAAAACAGUCUUUUUCACUAGGUCAAAAAUACCCAAAUUGAAAAGCUAGGUAAUAGUGACCCAAAUUGAAAGUUUUGGCCCAACAAAGCCCCAAAUCCAUAAUAACCCC
rnacentral:lncRNA from 1 species